rnacentral:rRNA from 1 species
UACUGGGGGUAAAGCGUGCGUAGGCGGCUUUUUAAGUCGGAUGUGAAAUCCCCGAGCUUAACUUGGGAAUUGCAUUCGAUACUGGGAAGCUAGAGUAUGGGAGAGGAUGGUAGAAUUCCAGGUGUAGCGGUGAAAUGCGUAGAGAUCUGGAGGAAUACCGAUGGCGAAGGCAGCCAUCUGGNCUAAUACUGACGCUGAGGUACGAAAGCAUGGGGAGCAAACAGGAUUAGAUACCCUGGUAGUCCAUGCCGUAAACGAUGUCUACUAGCCGKUGGGGCCUUUGAGGCUUUAGUGGCGCAGCUAACGCGAUAAGUAGACCGCCUGGGGAGUACGGUCGCAAGACUAAAACUCAAAUGAAUUGACGGGGGCCCGCACAAGCGGUGGAGCAUGUGGUUUAAUUCGAUGCAACGCGAAGAACCUUACCUGGUCUUGACAUAGUAAGAACUUUCCAGAGAUGGAUUGGUGCCUUCGGGAACUUACAUACAGGUGCUGCAUGGCUGUCGUCAGCUCGUGUCGUGAGAUGUUGGGUUAAGUCCCGCAACGAGCGCAACCCUUUUCCUUAUUUGGCAGCACUUCGGGUGGGAACUUUAAGG